rnacentral:rRNA from 1 species
AACGGCUACCACAUCUACGGAUGGCAGCAGGCGCGCAAAUUACCCAAUGCAGACACUGUGAGGUAGUGACGAGAAAUAAUAAAGCGGGACUUCUGUUUCGCUAUUAUAAUGAGGAAUAACCAAAGGUCAUUCCGAUUAGCAACUGAUGGGAAAGUCUGGUGCCAGCAGCCGCGGUAAUACCAGCGUCAGUAGCAUAUAUUAAAAUUGUUGCAGUUAAAACGUCCGUAGUCUGUACGUCGUCCCAAACUCACUGCAGUCUUCCGUUUUCUUAAUUGAAUGCGGUAGUUUCUGCAGUCACUCCCUUGAUCAAAUUAGGUUGUUCAAGGUAGACCAAGUCUUCAUAUUUUCACAUGGAAUUGGGUGAGGGAACUUAAGAGUUUAAGUUUCUCGUCUUAGGAUCAUCCGGGGUCAUUCGUACUCGUCCGCGAGAGGUGAAAUUCUUGGACCGGACGAAGACGACCAGCAGCGAAAGCAUCUGUCAGGGAUGUUUUCUGCGACAAAGGACGAAGGUCAGGGUAUCGAAGACGAUUAGAUACCGUCGUAGUCCUGACUGUAAACUAUGCCAACUUGGGUCUUGCUGGGCGAUGCUUUGUGAGACCCACACAGAAAUGAAAGUGUAUGGGUUCUGGGGGUAGUAUGGACACAAGUCUGAAACUUGAAGGAAUUGACGGAAGAGCACCAUAAGACGUGGAGCUUGCGGCUUAAUUUGACUCAACGCGGGAAAACUUACCAGGUCAAGACAUGGGCGUGAUUGACAGGCUAAUGACUUUUCUCGAUUCCAUGGAUGGUGGUGCAUGGUCGCACUUAGUUGGUGCAGUGAUUUGUCAGGUUUAUUCCGGUAACGAACGAGACCUCGGCCUUGUAAAUAGCUAUGCUGCUUACAGGGACAUUGGCGGCUACGCCAAGGAAGCUCGAGGCAAUUGCAGGUCUGGAAUGCCCUUAGAUGUCCUGGGUCGCACGCGUGCUACAAUGACGCCACGAACGAGCUUGCAUGAUGAAAGUUAUGCAUAAUCAGCAGUCGGCGUCUUAAGGGAUAGUCUCUUGUAACUGUGGGACUCCAACUAGGAAUGUCUCGUAAGCACAAGUCAACAUCUUGUGUUGAUUACGUCCCUGCUCUUUGUACACACCGCCCGUCGCUCCUACCGAUCGAGUGUUUAGGUGAAUUUGAUGGACGUAAGGAAGUCAAAUAAACCUGAGCACUUAGAGGAAGGAGAAGUCGUAACAAGGUAGCCGU